AUUGAACGCUGGCGGCAGGCUUAACACAUGCAAGUCGAGCGAGCGGCGGACGGGUGAGUAAUGUCUGGGAAACUGCCUGAUGGAGGGGGAUAACUACUGGAAACGGUAGCUAAUACCGCAUACCAUCAGAUGUGCCCAGAUGGGAUUAGCUAGUUGGUGGGGUAACGGCUCACCUAGGCGACGAUCCCUAGCUGGUCUGAGAGGAUGACCAGCGACACUGGAACUGAGACUCGGUCCAGACUCCUACGGGAGGCAGCAGCGGGGAAUAUUGCACAAUGGGCGCAAUCCUGAUGCAGCCAUGCCGCGUGUGUGAAGAAGGCCUUCGGAUUGUAAAGCACGUUCAGCGAGGAGGCGUUACUCGCAGAAGAAGCACCGGCUAACUCCGUGCCAGCAGCCGCGGUAAUAC
rnacentral:rRNA from 1 species